rnacentral:rRNA from 1 species
GACGAACCGUGCGAACGUUGUUCGGAAUCACUGGGCUUAAAGGGCGCGUAGGCGGGCUGCCAAGUCAGGGGUGAAAUCCUGCGGCUCAACCGUAGAAGUGCCUUUGAUACUGGUGGCCUUGAGGGAGGUAGGGGCGUGCGGAACUUCCGGUGGAGCGGUGAAAUGCGUAGAUAUCGGAAGGAACACCGGUGGCGAAAGCGGCGCGCUGGACCUCUUCUGACGCUGAGGCGCGAAAGCUAGGGGAGCAAACGGG